CUCUAAGUUUGUCGCUCAUGCGUGC
rnacentral:piRNA from 1 species